GAUGAACUCUGGCGGUCCGCUUAACACAUGCAAGUCGAACGGAAGUAGCAAUACUUUAGUGGCGGACGGGUGAGUAACACGUAAGAAUCUGCCCCUAGGACGGGAAACACAGUUGGAAACGAAUGCUAACUCCCGAUCAGCCGAAAGGUGAAAAGAGUUUCGCCUAGGGAUGAGCUUGCGGCUGAUUAGCUAGUUGGUAGGGUAAGAGCCUACCAAGGCGACGAUCAGUAGCUGGUCUGAGAGGAUGAGCAGCCACACUGGGACUGAGACACGGCCCAGACUCCUACGGGAGGCAGCAGUGGGGAAUUUUCCGCAAUGGGCGAAAGCCUGACGGAGCAAGACCGCGUGGGGGAGGAAGGUUCUUGGAUUGUCAACCCCUUUUCUCAGGGAAGAAGUUCUGACGGUACCUGAGGAAUCAGCAUCGGCUAACUCCGUGCCAGCCGCCGCUGUAACAC
rnacentral:rRNA from 1 species